AUAGCACAUAUAUAGUGCAGUGCUUAGUAACCAAGCCUUAAAGUGAUCCCAAAUAGUGCAGUGCUUAGUAACCAAGCCUUAAAGUGAUCCCAAUAUAUUUUCCUAAUCAGUUAGCGAAAAUUUUGAAUGGACAUUUUGUUGAUUUUUUAUUUUUGUUUUUUUAUAUGUACAUGUUUGGAUAAUCUACAUGUUUUUCGUAACAUCCGAAAGAAAUCAGAAUGGAAUUUGAUGGAGCUAAAAAAAAUAAUAUUUCAAGAAAAAAAAUUUCAAAGUUUUCUCUCACUCAUUUGGAAAAUAUAUGGCAGCCAUGGUUGGUUUUAGUUUUAUGCCAAUAUCCGAC